rnacentral:rRNA from 1 species
CCCUUAGAUGUUCUGGGCCGCACGCGCGCUACACUGACGAAUGCAACGAGCUUAUAACCUUGGCCGAAAGGUCUGGGUAAUCUCCAAAUUUCGUCGUGAUGGGGAUAGAUUAUUGCAAUUAUUAAUCUUCAACGAGGAAUGCCUAGUAAGCGCUAGUCAUCAGCUUGCGUUGAUUACGUCCCUGCCCUUUGUACACACCGCCCGUCGCUCCUACCGAUUGAAUGGUCCGGUGAAGCGUUCGGACCGUGGCCUUUGGACGGUUCGCCGUCUGUUGGCUGCGGGAAGUUCGUUAAACCUUAUCAUUUAGAGGAAGGAGAAGUCGUAACA